UACGAAGGGGGCUAGCGUUGCUCGGAAUUACUGGGCGUAAAGCGUGCGCAGGCGGUGAUGCAAGACAGAUGUGAAAUCCCCGGGCUUAACCUGGGAACUGCAUUUGUGACUGCAUUGCUGGAGUGCGGCAGAGGGGGAUGGAAUUCCGCGUGUAGCAGUGAAAUGCGUAGAUAUGCGGAGGAACACCGAUGGCGAAGGCAAUCCCCUGGGCCUGCACUGACGCUCAUGCACGAAAGCGUGGGGAGCAAACAGG
rnacentral:rRNA from 1 species